rnacentral:rRNA from 1 species
GCUCAACCGGGGAGGGUCAUUGGAAACUGGGGAACUUGAGUGCAGAAGAGGAGAGUGGAAUUCCACGUGUAGCGGUGAAAUGCGUAGAGAUGUGGAGGAACACCAGUGGCGAAGGCGACUCUCUGGUCUGUAACUGACGCUGAGGCGCGAAAGCGUGGGGAGCGAACAGGAUUAGAUACCCUGGUAGUCCACGCCGUAAACGAUGAGUGCUAAGUGUUAGAGGGUUCCCGCCCUUUAGUGCUGCAGCAAACGCAUUAAGCACUCCGCCUGGGGAGUACGGUCGCAAGACUGAAACUCAAAGGAAUUGACGGGGGCCCGCACAAGCGGUGGAGCAUGUGGUUUAAUUCGAAGCAACGCGAAGAACCUUACCAGGUCUUGACAUCCUCUGACAACCCUAGAGAUAGGGCUUCCCCUUCGGGGGCAGAGUGACAGGUGGUGCAUGGUUGUCGUCAGCUCGUGUCGUGAGAUGUUGGGUUAAGUCCCGCAACGAGCGCAACCCUUGAUCUUAGUUGCCAGCAUUCAGUUGGGCACUCUAAGGUGACUGCCGGUGACAAACCGGAGGAAGGUGGGGAUGACGUCAAAUCAUCAUGCCCCUUAUGACCUGGGCUACACACGUGCUACAAUGGGCAGAACAAAAG